UUUAUCUCUCUCGACCGCGCCGCUGCCAAUCACAUCUUUCUCAGAUCAUCACCGACUGCCAUCCCAUGGUAACCCAACUCGUCUCUCUCACUCUCUCAGUCGCACUUACACAUGCUCUCUCUCUCUCUCUCUNUCANCUCAUNUCAUNACUAUNUACAUCCAUGUANNNNNNNNNNNNNNNNNNNNNNNNNNCGUUCCUCACUCUCACUCUCUCCAUCUCUCUCUCUCUCUCUCUCUCUCUCUCUCUCUCUCUCUCUCUCUCUCUCUCUCUCUCUCUCUCUCUCUCUCUCUCUCUCUCUCUCUCUCUUGAUCUAUUGCUUUUAUAUUAUGGGUUUGAUUAGAUAAGAUUUGAUGAGAAUGUAAAGAAACUUGGAGAAGAAAAUUGGAAUGCAAUUUAUUGAUGAGAUGUAGAAAAGAGUAUUUGCAAUGUGCUAAUGUGAUAUUUUAUUUUUCUAGAAAAUUUAGUUUUUGAAAUGUCUAAUUGUUGAGGCUUGAUGGGUCCCAAAAUGUAGAGAAUGGAGAUGAAUUUGGAGUUAUGAAGGGUGUUUCAAAUGAUUUUUUCGGUUAAUUAGAAAGAAGAAAUCAAACUAAAAAGGUUAUUCAGAGAUGGAACUUUUGAAACAAUGGUUUCGUGAAAUGUAAGGUUAUAUCGUAAGUUAAGUUGUCUAAUUUUGAUUUGCAAGGCAACCUGAUUAUAGAUUUACUAAACAACAGAGAUUUGAGCAUUAGUCACAAGGUCUAGUUAUGAACACAUAUUAGUUUACUGAAAUCAGGAAAUUGAAAAUUUUGUUCAUAUGUUAAAGUUUUUUCAUGACUUUGCUCAGCAGAGCCUGGUGGAUAUUUCAUUCCACUUGUUUCAAAUUAGAACAUCUUUACUAAUUCUCUUGGAACAUCCCUAGUCACUAUGACCUGAUAAAUAACUUGAAUACUAUAUCACCCAAAAGCAUGUAGUGAUGUCAGAAUCUCUAAUAGAAUUGAAAUUCACAAUGCAGGUUUAUUUUUGCAGCUACAGUACCUUCUUUUAUAACAACAGUUUGCGAUUACAAUAUAUUUAAUCACUUAAUGCUAUUUUGUUGUAGCUUUCUCAUCUUAGAAAACUUUUGACUUCCAUUUUACAUAGUAAUAAGCAAUUUUGUGGCUCAUUGUUUUCCACAACAAUGAACUCUUCUCGCUCUUUCUCAAUGAGACAACAACAUAUUCAUGUGAGCAAUUCGAAAGGUAAGUGCUCAAACUUCUACUAUCUGUUCCUUGGAUUUUUUAUCAUAUGAGAAUUAUAUUUUUUUUUCCUUAAUCCCUUUGUUACGGUGGUCUAUUUUUCUUUUAUAAUAUUUCUUAAGUCAAGAGGAAGACUUGAAAGUUGCACAGCUAAGAAAGAUUCUUUUUUAUUGAAAAGGUAAGUCGUCAACAAAGUACACAUUUUAGAGACAAGAUGUGGUUGAAAGAGUUUGGUUGUUGAAGUUGUCAAGCGAAUAUGAUUGAAAUAUACUCUACCACCCUUGUGUUAGAUGUUUAGACAUCAUAGACUUUUAAUUUCCGCCUAAGAGAGCAACCACCCUUAGGAAAUUAAAUUCUUUUCUUCCUUGUUUGUUCUUAAAAAUGGUACCUUUUUUCAAAUUCUUUAACGAAUGUUUGAUUAAUUUUUUUGCCCUUAAAGAUAGUGCAGAUCAUAUAGGAAACCAAGUUGUUACAAUGAAUCGUAAAAGCCAAAGCUGC
rnacentral:lncRNA from 1 species